rnacentral:rRNA from 1 species
AGAGUUUGAUUAUGGCUCAGGAUAAACGCUGACAGAAUGCUUAACACAUGCAAGUCGAUGAUGGGAAGCUAAGCCUAGCUUAGAAGAAGUCAUGGCGGACGGGUGAGUAACGUGUAAAGAACUUGCCCUCUAGACUGGGAUAACAGAUAGAAAUGUCUGAUAAUACCGGAUAUUAUUGUUACAUGGCAUCAUGUAGGAAUGAAAGGAUAAGAUUGCUAGAGGAGAGCUUUGCAUCCUAUUAGCUAGUUGGUAAGGUAGCGGCUUACCAAGGCGAUGAUAGGUAGCCGGCCUGAGAGGGUGGACGGCCACAAGGGGACUGAGAUACGGCCCUUACUCCUACGGGAGGCAGCAGUGGGGAAUAUUGGACAAUGGAGGAAACUCUGAAUCCAGCAAUUCUGUGUGUGUGAAGAAGGUCUUCGGAUUGUAAAACACUUUUAGUUGGGAAGAAGAAGAUGACGGUACCAACAGAAGAAGCGACGGCUAAAUACGUGCCAGCCGCCGC